UGAGGAAUAUUGGGCAAUGCCCGCAAGGGUGACCCAGCAACGCCGCGUGGAGGAUGAAUGUCGUAAGAUUGUAAACUCCUGUUAGAGGGGAAGAAUAGUACCGGUUGGACCGGUAUAUGACUGUACCCUCAGAGAAAGCCCCGGCUAACUACGUGCCAGCAGCCGCGGUAAUACGUAGGGGGCAAGCGUUGUCCGGAUUUACUGGGUGUAAAGGGCGCGCAGGCGGGAUAAAAAGUCAGUGGUGAAAUCCUACAGCUUAACUGUAGAACUGCCUUUGAUACUUUUAUUCUUGAGUUCGGGAGAGAGAGACGGAAUUCCAGGUGUAGUGGCGAAAUACGUAGAUAUCUGGAAGAACACCAGUUGCGAAGGCGGUCUCUUGGUCCGACACUGACGCUGAGGCGCGAAAGCGUGGGGAGCAAACA
rnacentral:rRNA from 1 species